rnacentral:rRNA from 1 species
GCAUAUCAAUAAGCGGAGGAAAAGAAAAUAACAAUGAUUCCCUUAGUAACGGCGAGUGAAGGGGGAUAAGCUCAAAUUUUAAAUCUGACUAGGUUAUACCUAUCAGAGUUGUAAUUUGAAGAAGCGUUUUCCGCGUCUCGGUCGGCCCAAGUCCUUUGGGAUAAGGCAUCAUGGAGGGUGAGAAUCCCGUUCGGUUGACCUUAUGACGCUCUACGAUACGCUCUCAAAGAGUCGAGUUGUUUGGGAUUGCAGCUCAAAAUGGGAGGUAAAUUUCUCCUAAGGCUAAAUAUUGGCGAGAGACCGAUAGCGAACAAGUACCGUGAGGGAAAGAUGAAAAGAACUUUGAAAAGAGAGUAAAAUAGUACGUGAAAUUGUUGAAAGGGAAACGAUUGAAGUCAGUCGUACCGACGAGAAAUCAGCUCUCCGAGUGUGGUCUUGUGGGCGUGCCUGAGCUUUAAAACCUGGCUGUUUACAUUUCUGUGCUCUUUGGGUGUACUUUUUCGUAUGGUAGGCCAACGUCAGUUUCGAGCACCAUAAAACGAUUGGAGGAAUGUAGCUUCGAUCUCGUAUUGAAGUGUUAUAGCCUUUGGUAAAUGUGGUGAUCGAAACUGAGGAUUGCAACGAAUACCCUUUGGGCUAUCCGUCUGACCUCUGAAAGUUGCUUAGGUGCCGAAAGCUUGCUUACGUCAUUUAAGACGACGGUUAAAAGGUUAGAACGUGAUUACAUUCGUUAAGGACGUUGACGUAAUGGCUUUAAACGAC